GAUUAAGUUAUUAAGGGCGCACGGUGGAUGCCUUGGCACUAGAAGCCGAUGAAGGACGUUACUAACGACGAUAUGCUUUGGGGAGCUGUAAGUAAGCUUUGAUCCAGAGAUUUCCGAAUGGGGAAACCCAGCAUGAGUUAUGUCAUGUUAUCGAUAUGUGAAUACAUAGCAUAUCAGAAGGCACACCCGGAGAACUGAAACAUCUUAGUACCCGGAGGAAGAGAAAGAAAAUUCGAUUCCCUUAGUAGCGGCGAGCGAAA
rnacentral:rRNA from 1 species